rnacentral:lncRNA from 1 species
AAGAGCUGAGGGUGGCUGAGACUCGGGGUUGUUCAGGGCGGGGUGGGCUCUGGACCCAGGAGGCCUGGCACCCAGAGGAGCUCUACGGUGACUUUGAAGACUUGGAAACAGGGGACAUGCACAAGGGAAAAUCGGGCCCCGACACUCAGAAUGAAGAUAUAGAGAAACAAGGAAGAAAUUGACCCCGACGAAGAAGAAAGUGCCAAGAAAAAGCAUUUGGAUAAGAAGAGAAAAUUGAAGGAGAUGUUUGAUGCGGAAUAUGAUGAAGGAGAAAGCACAUAUUUUGAUGAUCUUAAAGGAGAAAUGCAGAAAGAAGCACAGCUGAAUCACGUAGAAUUUGAAGAUCAAGAUGAUGAAGCCAGAGUUCAGUAUGAUGGUUUUCGACCUGGGAUGUACGUCCGCGUUGAGAUUGAAAAUGUUCCCUGUGAAUUUGUGCAGAACUUUGACCCCCAUUACCCCAUUAUCCUGGGUGGCUUGGGCAACAGCGAGGGAAAUGUUGGACACGUGCAGAUGCGUCUGAAGAAACAUCGCUGGUAUAAGAAAAUCCUCAAGUCCCAAGAUCCAAUCAUAUUUUCUGUAGGGUGGAGGAGGUUUCAGACCAUCCUGCUCUAUUAUAUUGAAGACCACAAUGGAAGACAAAGGCUUCUAAAGUAUACCCCACAGCACAUGCAUUGUGGAGCAGCCUUUUGGGACCCUAUCACUCCACAGGGAACUGGUUUCUUGGCAAUACAGUCUGUCAGUGGCAUAAUGCCUGAUUUUCGGAUAGCUGCCACAGGAGUUGUCCUUGAUCUGGAUAAAUCCAUAAAAAUUGUGAAGAAAUUAAAGCUAACUGGUUUUCCAUAUAAAAUUUUCAAGAACACUUCAUUUAUUAAGAUAUUGUCUUCAUGCGAACUUGGUAUCCUGUUUCCAUCCCAGCCUUCUAUAACCCAGUAACAUCUUUGUUGAAACCAGUGGGUGAGAAAGACACCUGGUCAGGAAUGUGGACCACGGGCCACCUCGGGCUCGCCCAUGGUGUCAGACUAAAGACAAACAAGGACUCUCUGUAUAAGGUACUGGUCGUGUGUGUGUUAGUGGAGAUGAAGCCUGUGCCCUACAGACAGGGAGUCACGCAGACACUUUUCUAUAAUUUCUUACGUACUUUGAAUGUUCAAGUAUAAAGUCUAAUGUUAAAUUUGAUUGAACAAUUGUAUAUUUGUGGGAUAUUUUGGAAUGGAACACCAAAAAAUGGUAAUAGUGGUUCUUUCUGGAUUGAAGACAAACUUUUCUUUUUUAAAAUAAAUUUUAUUUUAUAUAU